GAGCCGGGGCUCGCGUCACAGUGACGGCCUCCGUGACCUGGGGAACCGUCUGAGCGGCUUGAAAAAGCAGGCGCCCACUGCGGCAGUGCCUCACCGUUGGGCGACGGCCCUCCCACCUCACGGCGAUGGUCGCCACGGUCCCGCGAUUUUCGGAGUUCGACUUGGAAGAACCAGGCUGAGAAAAGGUCCAGCGAAGCUUCAGGAAUGCUCAGGGCGAUGAAUUUGAACUCUUUCCUGCCAUACGAGGGCUGAGGAAAGAAAACAACAGAAAACAUGACAAGGAUAUGAGGGAACCAUUUGAAGAAAGAAAACUUCUCAAAGGAAAGAGUCUUUCUCUGUCACCCAGACUGGAGUGCAGUGGUGCAAUUUUGGCUCACUGCAAACUCCAUCUCCUGGGUUAAAGCUAUUCUCCUGCCUUACGCUCCUGAAUAGCUGAAAUAACAGGUAUGCAGUACCACACCUCACUAAUUUCUGUAUUUUCAGUAGAGAUGGGGUUUCACCAUUUUGGCCAGGCUGAUCUCAAAAUCCUGACCUUAUUUGAUAUGUCCACCUUGGCCUCCCAAAAUGCUGGGAUUACAGGUAUGAGCCACUGUGUCUGGCCCAUGACUAAAUUUCACUAAAAUCAUUUUUAUAAUCACAGAACAGCUCACAAACUUAGUACUUUGUAAACUACAAAAUAAAAUAUAUAUAAUAAACAAGAAAGUCAUGGGUCUACCAUAAGUAUCAGGCAAGUAAAAACAGAUAAUUUGUAUGAGAAGAUUCUGAACCAUAAGCCAUAAUAUAUUACAGUAAUAAAUUCAAUGCAAACUAGAAAAUAUAGAUUUGCAGCUUUGUGUGGCAGUAUCAUAGUCAAUGAGUUUUAUCCGAGGCGCGAUUAAUGGAAUUGAAAACUUUUUCCAAAACCCCACUAGGACGAGGUAAAAUUUAGCCAGCACUCGCAAUUUUUGGCCAUCGCUAUGGGGACUGAAUUAUUUUUAAAAAAAGAAAAGAAAGAAAGUAAAGAUUUGCAUUCAGCAUUUUUGAGUAUUUUUGUUUUCUAAAAAAUCAGACAUCUGGCUGGGUUUGGUGACUCACAUCUGUAAUCCCAGCACUUUGGGAGGCAAAAGUGGGUGGACUCACUUUAGGUCAGGAGUUCAAGACUAGCCUGAUCAAUAUGGUGAAACACCAUCUGUACAAAAAAUACAGAAAUUAGCUAGGUGUGGUGGCCUACACCUGUAGUCUCAGCUGCUGGAGAGCCUGAGAAUGGAGAAUUGCUCGAAUCUGGGAGGUGGAGGUUGUUGCCAGCUGACAUCAUGCCACUGCACUCCAGCCUGGGCAACAGAGCAAGACUCUGUCUCAAAAUAAAUAAAUAAAUAGGAAAGAAAGAAACAGAAAAUUAGACCUUAUUAAGAUUAUUUGUUUUCGAAAGCGAGAACCAAGCCGGCACCUCUUGCAAUGGAGACGGUCAUUUCUUCAGAUAGCUCCCCAGCUGUGGAAAAUGAGCAUCCUCAAGAGACCCCAGAAUCCAACAAUAGCGUGUAUACUUCCUUCAUGAAGUCUCAUCGCUGCUAUGACCUGAUUCCCACAAGCUCCAAAUUGGUUGUAUUUGGUACAUUCCUGCAGGUGAAGAAAGCUUUCUUUGCUUGGUGACUAACGGUGUACGAGCUGCCCCUUUAUGGGAUAGUAAGAAGCAAAGUUUUGUGGGUCUGCUGACCAUCACUGAUUUCAUCAAUAUUCUGCACCGCUACUAUAAAUCAGCCUUGGUACAGAUCUAUGAGCUAGAAGAACACAAGAUAAAAACUUGGAGAGAGGUGUACCUCCAGGACUCCUUUAAACCGCUUGUCUGCAUUUCUCCUAAUGCCAGCUUGCUUGAUGCUGUCUCUUCAUUAAUUCGGAACAAGAUCCACAGGCUGCCAGUUAUUGACCCAGAAUCGGGCAAUACUUUGCACAUCCUCACCCACAAACGCAUUCUGAAGUUCCUCAAAUUGUUUAUCACUGAAUUUCCCAAGCCAGAGUUCAUGUCCAAGUCUCUGGAAGAGCUACAGAUUGGCACCUAUGCCAAUAUUGCUAUGGUUCGCACUACUACCCCCGUCUAUGUGGCUCUGGGCAUUUUUGUACAGCAUCGAGUCUCAGCUCUGCCAGUGGUGGAUGAGAAGGGGCGUGUGGUGGACAUCUACUCCAAGUUUGAUGUGACCAAUCUGGCAGCAGAAAAGACCUACAACAACCUAGACGUGUCUGUGACUGAAGCCCUGCAACAUCGAUCACACUACUUUGAGGGUGUUCUCAAGUGCCACCUGCAUGAGACUCUGGAGACCAUCAUCAACAGGCUAGAGGAAGCAGAGGUUCACCGACUUGUAGUGGUGGAUGAAAAUGAUGUGGUCAAGGGAAUUGUAUCACGGUCUGACAUCCUGCAGGCCCUGGUGCUCACAGGUGGAGAGAAGAAUCCCUGAGCUGGGGAAAGGGUCAGGCAGCACCAAGGCAUAUGCCCAACUCAUUGUCUGCUAGAAGCUCUGUGGGAAUCAGAUAAAACUUGGGGGAACUGUGACCGUUCCCUGCUCAGGGCCCCCUGCCCUUCUAUCUGGGAGCUAGAGAAGGUGUAGGGGGAGGAAAGAGAAUGGUUUUAUAGCUACCCUUACCCUCACACAUACACUUGAAAAAACUUUCAGACUCACCAAUUCUAGCCCCUGUCCUCUUAGAUAUAGCCCCCUUUCUGGGUGAACUGUAGGCUCUGUGUCUCUCAAAUUCUGAUCUCUAAGAGAUCCCCAGACCUCACCUGCCUCUGCCUCUGUCUCGGCCCUGAUUCAGCCCGAAGAUGAUAAUAGCACAACAAAAUUCUUCAUAAAGAUAUUUUUAUUCACCUGUUCCAUGCUAUAUGGAGGAGGCCAAGUCCAUUUAGUGACAUUUCUUCCCAUAAUGUCAGUGAGGAGGACUGUGGGGAGGAGGGCCUUUGGGUUCCUGUGCUGUGUGCAUAUAAAGGGAGAUGGGGUUGGGUGAAGUAGGAGGGCAGUGUGGUUAGCAAAGGUUAUUGCUUUUUACGGCAAAUCUAAUUAAAUGACAGCAAUCUCUUCAUGGUAAAAAAAAAAGUAUUUGUUUUCUUCCAAUAUUGAUAUUUUAUUCUGAAAAUACUUACAAACUCAUCCUCAAA